rnacentral:sRNA from 1 species
UCCAAUUGUUCACCAACAAUCAGGAUGG